GCAUGCUCACAUAGUGUAAAGAAUUUAUCUGAAUGUAAAGGACAAAUGCUUAUUAAAAGGGAAGAUUUUAGAAAAGAAAGCAUAUAAAGAGCAAGAAAAAUAUUUUUCUGUGAAGACGCAGAUUUUGUAUUCAUCCUGUCAUCUCUGUAAAGCUGAAAUUUACACUGAUAUUACAACUAGCCAAAAGAAUGUGAUUUAGGUCUAUAUGCACUGCAGUUCCAAAAAGCCACUGCAGAAAUUAUCCAUGUUCUUUUAUGAAAAAGCUGGAAGAUAACUGGAACAUGAUGUUUUCAGUUUGCUCUUCAGGAAAAUGAGGUUGGAUCAUUCUUCCAUACUUAAGCUACAUCACUGUAUUGUUCUAGAUCUGGCUGGUGUGUAAAGCAAUCUGGAGGCAGUUGAGGGUGGCUACUUGUUGUAUUUAUGUGUCAG